AGAAUAGAAUAGAAUAGAAUAGAAUAGAAUGUUAAUUUACGCAAAUACAAUAUUAAGCAAAAUCCAUGCCGAAAUACGGAUGAUAAGUUUGGGCUAAAGCAAUCUAGCCGGAGAAUAUUCAUUUGAGCGUGCGCUUGUCAUCCCGACCGGUACCGUUAUUUCUCGUUAAGCAUCUGUCUUUUCUGACUGCUGCUAAAAGACAGAAAUCGAGCAUCGAGUGAAGGGUUCGCGAGCUGGUGUCCACACAAGAGCAGUGCGCGCGCGACAGAAACCCAGAAAUCAUUAGAGCAGAAGCUGAUUCCCGUGCACGUGCACGUGCCCGCGGCUGUGGACACACUAAAAAGAAAAACGCAGCCCUUCAGUGAGAAAAUUAGAGAGGCACCUGAUGAUGGCGAGUUUGACAUGUGUUAAUUGCUCAACAGCUCUCCUCAUUAGGGAUUUCGGAAUUGCUGAAGUGAUGCGGGGAGGAGAGCUGAUGUCUGUCCGCAUCAAACGCGCUGCCUGCCGCCUACUACUGCAGCCUAUGCUUCCAGUGCCUGGCUCUCAUUUGCCCCGCAACAAUGAAUCGUGUCAUGUAUUGGGAUCCAUUCCUCUGAGAAGCCUCUUCAAGAGAAAAGGCCGAUCCGUGUAGGUGUGUUUCAUCGUCUGAUGAGGCAUAGGGUCUCCACAGGGUCACACACACCAUGACACGUCCGUCCCAUCACACACACAUGCACGUUACCCC